UACGAGAGGCCCUAGCGUUAUUCGGAAUCACUGGGCUUAAAGCGCGCGCAGGCGGACUGGCAAGCGAGUUGUGAAAUCCCGAGGCUUAACCGUGGAACAGCAGGUCGAACUGCGGGUCUUGAGUCAGGUAGGGGCGGGCGGAACUACCGGUGGAGAGGUGAAAUGCGUAGAUAUCGGUGGGAACGCCAAUGGCGAAGGCGGCCGGCUGGGCCUGUUCCGACGCUGAGGCGCGAAAGCGUGGGGAGCAAACAGG
rnacentral:rRNA from 1 species